rnacentral:tRNA from 1 species
UAGUUCAGUGGUAGAAUGCUUGACUGUUAAUCAAAGGGUCGCUGGUUCGAAUCCAG